UACGAAGGGUGCAAGCGUUAAUCGGAAUUACUGGGCGUAAAGGGUGCGUAGGCGGUUGUUUAAGUCUGUCGUGAAAUCCCCGGGCUCAACCUGGGAAUGGCGAUGGAUACUGGGCAGCUAGAGUGUGUCAGAGGAUGGUGGAAUUCCCGGUGUGGCGGUGAAAUGCGUAGAGAUCGGGAGGAACAUCAGUGGCGAAGGCGGCCAUCUGGGACAACACUGACGCUGAAGCACGAAAGCGUGGGGAGCAAACAGG
rnacentral:rRNA from 1 species